rnacentral:sRNA from 1 species
UAAGAAGAAGAAGAAGAAGAAGAUGUAGAAAA